GAUGCCCUACCGUGUGCGUGAUGUAGCAAUUCCGUUUUGAGCCAACACGUACCUUAAGGGGACCGAUCUCGCACGAGCGACGCGGUAGGCUUCGGCCAAGGCGGACCUCGUCGGCAGGUCCCCACCUGCGCAAGCAGGUUCAAAACCAGCUACACACGGCAUGGCGGGGCUUGU
rnacentral:other from 1 species